UACAGAAUAACUGCAUCGGGUUUGUGUAACCAGGUGUGCAUUCUAUAUCUGCAUACCGUAGUUUACACUUUUAUUUGUCACUUUUUUGUUAUGGUUGCUUAGCGUACCGUAUAGGAAUACAGCAGCACCGCCACUAAAACGUUGCCACAUCUCCUUUUGGUGUGCUGUAUUACCAGGGCAAUGUAACCAAGGCAACAGACAUUACAGAACUAUAGCUGUAGAUGGAGGAGACAUGCUUCAACAGGACGCAUCGAAAUCGUUAACGCCAUCUGCGUAAAACGUAACCGAAUUAGGCGUGGUGACGUUUUGCUUGUGGUCCUAUCUAAGGGGCGGAAAAGCGCAGCGCAGUCCUUUUCUACUCAGUGCCUCCUCGAGGGUAGAGCUCGUCUCCUGUGAGACCGAUCGACGCAAUCCGCCAGAAUGAUCAUUUACAAGGAUAUCAUCAGCGGAGAUGAGAUGUUCUCCGACAUCUACAAAAUCAAAGAAUCCGCCAAUGGCCUCUGCUAUGAAGUGGAGGGAAAG